GUGAAUGAAACUAUUGAACUAACCUUGGAGCUGACCUGACAUAUUAGAGGUUCUUAGCAUCAUUAAAUUCCUAAUUUUGACUUAUCAGUCAUCAGCUGGUUGUAGUUUCAGAGUAUUAUCUCUUUCUUCUUAGUGUCUCUGAAUAUGUGCUUUUUUUUGUAAUUAAGAUUCUUCACUUGUUAAUACUUCUGGCCAAUGGAAUGCAAACUAACAUCUGUUGCAUGGUCAGGCAACACUAGCAACACUGGAUUAUUCCAUGCCUGGACUAUGCUACUUUCAGGCUUUUGUGCUUCAAUUACGCUGUUUGCUCUGCUUCUCAUAAUGCUCCCUCAUGUUUUCUUCUUUGCUCCUCAACUCAGAGAAUUCUAGCUCAUUCUUCAAGGCCAAGAUCAAAUAUCACUUCCUCCAAGAAGCCUUUCUCAACCCUACUUUUCCUCUUUGCCAUGAUUCUCCAUCAUUUCAUAGGUCUAGUUAUCUCUCCCAUGAUGCUUUGUUCAUACUGCUAACAAAAUGUGUCAGUAGAUAUUUGUUUCUACAUAAUAGUUUCCUCUUCUAUCACAUUAGCUUGGAGAAAAUGAAAUUUGUCCUGAGUAUAUUUGCAUGUCUGUAUUAGGGUUCUCUAGAGAGACAGAACUAAUAGGAUAGAGAGAUAGGUGGAUUGGCUCAUGUGAUUAAAGAGGCUGAGACGUUCCUCGAUAGACCAUCUGUAAGCCUGGAGACACAGGGAUGCCAGUAGCAUGGUUGUCCAAACUGGAGGGCCUCAGAACCAGGGAAGCCCUUGGUGCACCUCUCACUCUAAGGCUGAAGACCUAAGAAGCCAGGAGGCCACUGGUGCAAGUCUCAGAGUUCAAAGGCUGGAGAACCUAGAGUUCUGAUGGCCAAGGACAGGACGAGAAGGGUGUCUCAGCUCCAGGAGAGAGAGCAAGAGAGCCUUUCCUCUGCCUUUUCACUCUAUCCAGACCCCCAGCCGGUUAGAUGGUGCCCACCCACAUUGAAGGAGGAUCUCCCCAACUCAGUCCACGAACUCACAUGCCAAUAUCCUCUGGAAAUACCCUCAUAGACACACUCAGAAAUAAUGAUUUAGCACCCAUCUCUUAAUCCAGUCAAGUUAAUACCUAAAAUUAACCAUCACAAUCUCCAAAGUCAAACAUAGUGCCUGGUGGAGACCUACGUGUGUCGAAUCAAUCAAGAAAACUUACAGUGUGGUAUGUAGUAUACAGAGUCACUUUAGCCUAGGUUUGAGUUAUAGGUCAAGCCACUUACUACCUGUUAACCUUGGACACAUUAUUUAAACUUUCUGAGCACUUGUUUUCUCAUUUGUAAAGCGAAGAUGUUAAAAAUAAUAUAAAUUAACUUUUGAACAUGGCUUGAGAAUGUAAUAAGUUAACACCUUUACAGUUAUGUAGAGCAGUGCCUGAGGCACAGUAGGCACACAAUAAAUAUUAGCCCUUAUUAUAAUAAUCAUCUUAUAUAGUGAGAUUGGUCUCCUAGAAGGGCAGUGAAAAUAUUAUCAAAAGAAUCACCAAUUGCUGCUCAGGAGCAUUGAAGGAGCACCUUGAGUUGGAGAAGUGUCAACAAUUUUGAUUGAAGCUAGAUGAGCGUGUCUAUGCCUAGUGGGCAGGCCUUAAUUUGCUGCUUCUUCACAUUUCACUGGCGAUUAAAUGCUGAGGGACCCAUGUCUCUGAUACCUGGCUUGGAGCCCAGUCUCCUGGGAUGCUAUUUCAACUUGACCCAGCUAUAAAAGCAUAGGAACCCCAGUCAUCAGAUAAAGCAGUAGAGCAACGAAGGUCUGUGCUGUCUGGUCAAGGGUUAGAUUUGGAUGGUUAGGGAGCUGGAAGAUAUUGGUAUGGGAUUGUGGGGUUGGAGAGAUGGAUUUGGCUUAGGAGAACAGAAGGAAGGCUCCAGCAGCAGGAAAUCAUUUUCUUGCUAGCCUGUGUUCCAAUUAGGGGCAAAUAUUAGAAGCAGGAACUGCCUCAAGGUAGGAGGAUAAUAGGACUGAGGGUUUUAGGUAAGGGAUAUCCUGCCACAGAGAUGACAAUGUGAUCUGGUAUGCGUUUUCCUCUGCAUGUCAAAUGAAUAACAAGGAUUAAUUUGCUUCCGCCACAAGAUGCACAACAUUCUCUACUCCUCCCUCUGCUGUGGCUGCUGGAGGCCACUCAUGUAGGGCACCCAUAUUCAUGACAGCUUGAAAGCACUAGAGAAAGCCAGCUUCUAUAUUACAUUGCAAAAUUGCAGCAGGCUUAUUUCUUUGAGAGCACAUACUGUUUUGAGUCCUGAGAAGUCCCUUUUGUAUCUUGCCUACCUCUCCUCUUUGAGAGCCUGUAACAUACGUGCAGUGGGCAUAAACCACACACCAAGCCCUCGCUGUGCUAGUGGAUUUACUUUCGAUUGCUACUACAACAAAUUACUACAAAUUUAGGGGCUUAAAACAACACCCAUUUAUUAUCUCACAGUUCUGUAGGUCAGAAGUCCAGUAGGCGCAGCUGGUUUCUCUGUUUCAAGUCUCACAAGACUGAAAUCAAGGCAUUCGCUGAGCUGCUUUCCCUUCCGGAGGCUCUAGGGGAGAGUCCAUUUCCAGGUUAAUCCAGGUAGUCGGCAGAAAUCAAUGUCUAUAGAACUGAGGUCUGUUUCCUUUGCUGGCUGCCAUCUGGGCAUCUCCCUUGGUAUUUAGAGGCCUCUUUUGAGUCAUUGUAGGUAGUCUCUGCACACCCAAAACUAGGAAUGGCAUAUUAAAUUCUUCUGACCCUGGAUCUCUUCUGUCUCCGCUUCUUGUGCUGCAUCUCUAUGACCAACUCUUCUGCCUUCCACUUCUGCUUUUAAGUGAUUAGAUGGGCCCCCUUGGUAAUCCAAGAUAAUCUUCCUAUUUUAAGGUCUGUAAUCUCAAUCACAUCCACACUGUCUCUUUUGCCACGUAAAGUAACAUAUUCACAAGUUCCCAGAGAUUAGGGCUUGGAAAUCUUUGGGGGACAUUAUUCUGCCUACCACAGCUAGGUUAUUUUCAUAUUUUUCUCCCUUAAUCCAUGUAACAGCCUCGUAAAGAAAGCAUUGUUAUACUCAUCAUAUACGAAUAGUAACUGAGGUUCAGAGAGGUUCCUAUUACAACUGAUAAACGGGGGAGCUGGGGUUUGAAUCUUGCUUCAGAGCUCACACUCCGUCCUCUGCCAGAGAUGGAGGGGUGGAAGAAAAGCCAUCAUGUGACCUGCCACUCUCAUUGCAUUUCCCACCAUUGUUUCACUAGGGCUGCUUCUCAACUUAGCAAGGUCGUCACUCUGUCCACCAAAGAUUUCUAACUCUCCUCCUGGGUAUGUGGUAUGUGUGUCUCCUGGGUCUCAUCAGAACACACAUGGCACGCUCAAAUGAAGUUAUUGAGAAGAGAUUAAUAAAAGGACUGUUUACAAGGUUGUGAGUGGGGCAAUGUAAAACCAACAAGGAAUGACAGAGCAUGUUGGCUAACAACAGCUAUUGCACCCCACGCCUGGAGGAGUAUAGGGAAGAAACAGUUACUAGAACCCCAAGAGAAAGGAGAAACUGAAGGAGGGGAUGCCUGGCUGGAGCUGUGGCCUUCAAUAGUGGAACACCGCUACAACCAGCCUGGCAGGGAGGCUUCUGUGGAUUUCUGAGAGAGCGGAGGAGGAGCAUGUACAAUCACCACAAGCUCCAUGGCUGACCAGCACAGGCAUUAGGGCAUAACAGAACUGACCUUCCUCCCAGCCCUGUCGUGAGGAUGAAAUCCUGUGUGGAGCACUUUGAAAUCUUUGGAUGAAAAGCACGACAGAAGUGCCAAGUAUGAUUGUUACCCGUGCCAGCCACACUAGAAGACAGCAUAAAAAUAGGAAGCAAAGAAAAUUUCAUUUUACAAAAGCUUCAGUGAGAAAAUUGGCUGGUCAGAAUGUCAUUCCCUAGUUUUGGUUCACAUACACGUUGUCUUUUAUAAAAUUAAAGGAAAAAAAUAAUUGUACACAUUUUUGUCUUUGCCGGGAAGAAGCCCUUUGAUCAUCACCAUCCCUGCGACGCCAGGUGAGUCCCUGAUGCAGAAGGAAGAUCGAUACAUGAGGAGACCGUGUGGAAUCAGUUAUUUGUAGUUGCUCCCCAAUUUCUGUUUUUCAUUGCAAGGAAUCGAAGCCAUAAAGUCUGAGGGGGUGUUACAGGUUGAGGAUUAGGGAGUGUCUAAACCUUGACAUCGUCACAACAUAGGAUCCGAGAUACCUCCAGCUAAAACAGAGACUGUGCUUUCAGAACUGGCCCUGCACGCAGCCUCUACUCCAGUGCUCUCAGGUCCUGUCCUUAAUAGGAGAACAUGAGAGCUGCAGAUUUAAAAACCCAAGAGGGAACCUUUGCAACAACCUUUGUUAUAUUAGGAAUCCCAAAAUAAGCUAGAAGAGAGGAAUUUGAAUGUUCUCAACACAAAUGAUAAAUGUUUGAGAUGAUGGAUAUGCUAAAUACACUUAUUUGAUCAUUAAACAUCGUAUACAGAGGGCUCCCAUAAUUGUAUAAGCCUCAUGCCUCACAAAACCUGAAGGUGCCUUUGGUGAGGAGGAUCAUCAGAACACCAGCAGAGUACCUCGACGUGUGAAAUCUAGCACUGGAUUCCAUCCCUGACUUUUCCUAAGAAUCACUGUGAAUGCUCUGGACAAAUUGCUGCUGCGCUGGGUGCUCCCUGUGUCAUCACACUUCCUAAUUGUACUUCUGGGUCCUCUGAAGCUGUUCCCAGUGCUUAAUCGUAAGAAAAGAAGCUCCAAAUACUAGUUCAGAAACUCAGGUAGAAAGAGACCUUAAAUGUCAUGUCCAGCCACUCUUCUGAUGCUUGAGUCUUCUCUUCAGGAGGCAUCUGGGCCUGGGCUUGGACCCCUUGCCUCAGUCAACCCAUUAGAAGUGUCUUUCCUUGUCUUGAGUCAAAACCAGUCCACUGCUACUGGCAUUGCUCUAUACUUCCAGGCUGUACAGAAGAUGUCUAACCUUUCAGAUGAGAAUGGCAGAGGAAAGCAAGAAGAAAGAAACUUUAAUUGUUCCUCAACUUCCCAAUUAGGCACACCAUUAGGGGUUUUUAAUAUGGUUCUUGAUUUAAUCUUCUCAUUAACUUUCUGAUGUAAGUAUUAUUAUUUUAUUCUAGGGUUCCCAGAUGUAGCAAAUAAAAAUAGAGGAUAUCCAGUUAUAUCUGAAUUUCAGAUCAAAACAAAUGAUUUUUAAAUAAAACAUACACUCCCAAAAGUGUGAAAUUAAUUUGUCCUUGGACAAGAGAUAUGGAAAUGUCAUGUAUUUUACCUGGAAAUCCUGUUAUUAUGCCCAUUUUUGGAGCUGAGGAAACUAAAGGUAGGAGCCUAGGUAAGUAGUGGAGCUGGAAUCUAAGCCCAGGUCCUUGAUUUCAAAGCACAACCCCAUGCCCCACAAUAUCAUACACUGAUUUAGUAUCUGCCUCCUACCUACCCCCAAGAAAAAUGUGAAAUUAAUUUGUCUUUAGAAAGGAGCUACCAAAGCUAUAAAAACAAAACAAAUGUAUUUGCAGCUAAGAGAAGACAAUCUCCAGGAAACUACUGCUUCAGUUAUUUGACACUGGGCAGAAUUUUUGGUGAGAAAUCAGCAAGAUCAUAGCCUGGAGUGAACACUGGAGGCAUGAGAUGUCCUUGAGAAAGAGGCUAGAACAGAGGGUGGAACGCCCCUUCUAUUAAAGCAGUUGUUUUCCAGGGUCUCUGGAAAGCUCCUUCCUUUGUCGUGGCGGUGGUGGGGAAGGGGAGGCUGGGACCCUAAUGCAUGACUUUCCACCUGGGUGUCACUGGCACCUGAUGUCCUAAUCAUAUUUCCCUGUCACCUCUCAGUGCUGAUUUACUUUCUCCUCCCAUUCUACAUGCUGCAGAACUAAUUGCCUGCCUAAUUGCCAAAACGAAUUGCUGUGACAUUCAUUGUUCAUCUGCUCCUUUCUCCGGCUUGAGCUCAGGCAGGUGGCUCCCAUGAAGGCAAGGGUGGAAUUAUUCCUGCUUUAGGGCCAGGAUGCUUCAGAGUGAUGGCCCAACAAUUAUCUUCCUCAUGGAGGCGGACCAAGGAAUCACCUUCCUCAUUGAGCAGGGGACAAUAAUUCUUGGCAGGGGUUCCCCUUCUUCUGCUGUAAGAUUGGGUAGCUUUGACAGGUUGUGAGUCAGUUAAAUUGUACUUUUCAGGGAGUUCCUCUCUCCCAUUUGGAGAUUAGGAUUAGAUUUGUUGGUUAAGAAACUGACCGAGAGAGGAGAGACAGCUCCUUGCUGGCCACAUAGCUCAUUCAUGGUGAAGUUGAAUCUGGGGCUCAGAUAUCCCAAUUCAUAGCCCAGAAUGAUUUCUACUGCACCACACCACAACUGUUGCAGUUGCACUAAUUACGGUUUUAUAUUUCCUUAUAAACUUUUAUUAAACCCCUAUCAAAUAGUAUGUCCUCAUUGGUAGCAAGAAUAAUAAAUAUUUAUUGAGUUGUUAUGAAUAUUAAGCCUACUUUUUUUUCAUGUAAUCCUGAAAAAAGGCAACAUGACAGAGAUGCUCUCAGUAUCCUUAUUUUAUAUCAGGGAAAGUGGAGGCAGAGGGAGGUUAAUAACUUGCCCAGGUCUGACACCAGAUCCCAUCCUCUUACCCCCACAAGCCCAUGUGCAGAUUCCUCCUGACAGCUUCUGGAUUCUGAUACACGAAAGAACUUAUGAAGAUGACUUGAAGGCUGGAGCUGGCGCAACAUGAAACUAAUCAACCAGAUUAUGCAAAUUAUUAUGUAAACUCCUAUUAUUGAGCCAGGAUUCAUGACAGCCCCUUUUUUCCAACGCUGCUGAGAUAAAAGCAAAUGGAUUGCAACACUAGCUUGGGAUGAAUUCAGGGAGCUUGGAAAGAAUUCCUGGGAUUUUCUGGGCAGUGGAAAAGACAGUGGGUUGGGAGUCAAGAACCUGAAGUUUAGUUCCGGAUCUGGCAUUAGGUAGCUGCAUGGCCCUGGGAGGACCUAUGUGCCUCAGUUUCUUCAACUGUGAAACGAGAUAAGACUCCAUGCUCUGGAAGACCCCUGCCAUUCUAGGCAUCUCGGAUGGCAUGUCCAAGAUGGAAGCACACAAUGGCAGAGGCUUGUAGCGACCUUCAGGACAGCUUUCCAGUAGCUGUAAAUAAAAGUCUUAUUGUUUGGUUCUUGGUCUUUCCCCCCUCUCAGUGACAGGAAGAA
rnacentral:lncRNA from 1 species